AAGCAGAGGACACCUUGUUCUUUUGGGCCGAACGCACUCGUGGAAAUCCAAAAGAACGGCUUCGGCCGGAUCUGCUGGGGCACUCUAUCGCUCGGACCCCGAAUGUAAACCUUCCCAUCGUGAGAAAGCUUUUCAAGCUUUUCCUCCCGCGAGGCUACUUAUGAGUUAUUUUGUCAAUGAUAACAAAAGUUACGGAGGCCCACGUUGCGUUUUGGUGCUGCGCUGGCGGCGGCGGCGGCGGCGGACCGGGAAGGUCACACAAAGGAAAACUCGUCCGAUUGGAGUCACAGCUGCUCGGUAUCGGACGCCGCGAUAUCGUGUACCCGAUGAUGCGUCGGCGCAGAUGUACGUACCGGUGAAGAAGAGCGCGACGGCGACGCUGAGGACGAGGAGGAGGAAAGUCGGCGGCUCGUGUUUUAUUUCCCCUCCAAACAACCAAAGUGACAACAGACAGCCCAGUGGAGGUGAAAGGUGGAGAAAUCCAAACCAUGGCACGGCCACCACGUACGAACGAGUGUAAAUGAUUCCCAGGAAACCCAACCAGGAGCCAAA